rnacentral:rRNA from 1 species
CAGCCGCCGCGGGAAUACGUAGGUGGCAAGCGUUGUCCGGAAUUAUUGGGCGUAAGGGGCUCGCAGGCGGUUUCUUAAGUCUGAUGUGAAAGCCCCCGGCUCAACCGGGGAGGGUCAUUGGAAACUGGGAAACUUGAGUGCAGAAGAGGAGAGUGGGAUUCCACGUGUAGCGGUGAAAUGCGUAGAGAUGUGGAGGAACACCAGUGGCGAAGGCGACUCUCUGGUCUGUAACUGACGCUGAGGAGCGAAAGCGUGGGGAGCGAACAGGAUUAGAUACCCCUGUAGUCCCUGUCUCUUAUAC